rnacentral:rRNA from 1 species
CGGGGUGCACCAGGCGCGAAAACUUUACAAUGCGGGAAACCGUGAUAAGGGGACACCGAGUGCCAGCAUCAUAUGCUGGCUGUCCAGGUGUGUAAAAUACACCUGUUAGCAAGGGCCGGGCAAGACCGGUGCCAGCCGCCGCGGUAACACCGGCGGCCCGAGUGGUGAUCGUGAUUAUUGGGUCUAAAGGGUCCGUAGCCGGUUUGGUCAGUCCUCCGGGAAAUCUGAUAGCUUAACUAUUAGGCUUUCGGAGGAUACUGCCAGACUUGGAACCGGGAGAGGUAAGAGGUACUACAGGGGUAGGAGUGAAAUCUUGUAAUCCCUGUGGGACCACCUGUGGCGAAGGCGUCUUACCAGAACGGGUUCGACGGUGAGGGACGAAAGCUGGGGGCACGAACCGGAUUAGAUACCCGGGUAGUCCCAGCCGUAAACGAUGCUCGCUAGGUGUCAGGCAUGGCGCGACCGUGUCUGGUGCCGCAGGGAAGCCGUGAAGCGAGCCACCUGGGAAGUACGGCCGCAAGGCUGAAACUUAAAGGAAUUGGCGGGGGAGCACA